GACGAACCGUGCGGACGUUGUUCGGAAUCACUGGGCUUAAAGGGCGCGUAGGCGGGUCUUCAAGUCAGGGGUGAAAGCCUCCGGCUCAACCGGAGCAGUGCUUUUGAUACUGGAGAUCUCGAGGGAGGUAGGGGCAUGUGGAACUCAGGGUGGAGCGGUGAAAUGCGUAGAUAUCCUGAGGAACGCCGGUGGCGAAAGCGACGUGCUGGACCUCUUCUGACGCUGAGGCGCGAAAGCCAGGGGAGCAAACGGG
rnacentral:rRNA from 1 species